GGCCUGGUAGCUCUAUCCCUAGAACAAUAGUGAUAUAUUCUGAAAGGUCAUGGGUUCAAUUCCCAUCCUGGUCA
rnacentral:tRNA from 1 species